rnacentral:rRNA from 1 species
UGGGGAAUAUUGCACAAUGGGCGCAAGCCUGAUGCAGCCAUGCCGCGUGUGUGAAGAAGGCCUUCGGGUUGUAAAGCACUUUCAGCGAGGAGGAAGGUGGUGAGCUUAAUACGCUCAUCAAUUGACGUUACUCGCAGAAGAAGCACCGGCUAACUCCGUGCCAGCAGCCGCGGUAAUACGGAGGGUGCAAGCGUUAAUCGGAAUUACUGGGCGUAAAGCGCACGCAGGCGGUUUGUUAAGUCAGAUGUGAAAUCCCCGGGCUCAACCUGGGAACUGCAUUUGAAACUGGCAAGCUAGAGUCUCGUAGAGGGGGGUAGAAUUCCAGGUGUAGCGGUGAAAUGCGUAGAGAUCUGGAGGAAUACCGGUGGCGAAGGCGGCCCCCUGGACGAAGACUGACGCUCAGGUGCGAAAGCGUGGGGCAGCAAACAGGAUUAGAUACCCUGGUAGUCCACGCUGUAAACGAUGUCGAUUUUGGAGGUUGUGCCCUUGAGGCGUGGCUUCCGGAGCUAACGCGUUAAAUCGA